UACGGGGGGGGCAAGCGUUGUUCGGAAUUACUGGGCGUAAAGGGCUCGUAGGUGGCCAACUAAGUCAGACGUGAAAUCCCUCGGCUUAACCGGGGAACUGCGUCUGAUACUGGAUGGCUUGAGUUCGGGAGAGGGAUGCGGAAUUCCAGGUAUAGCGGUGAAAUGCGUAGAUAUCUGGAGGAACACCGGUGGCGAAGGCGGCAUCCUGGACCGACACUGACACUGAGGAGCGAAAGCCAGGGGAGCAAACGGG
rnacentral:rRNA from 1 species